rnacentral:rRNA from 1 species
GACGAAGGGGGCUAGCGUUGUUCGGAAUUACUGGGCGUAAGCGAGUGUAGGUGGUUGUCACAGUCAGGUGUGAAAGCCUUGAGCUCAACUCAAGAAAUGCACUUGAUACUAGGGCGACUAGAGGACCGGAGAGGAUAGUGGAAUUCCCAGUGUAGUGGUCGAAAUACGUAGAGAUUGGGAAGAACACCAGUGGCGGAAGGCGGGUUGCGUGGGC